ACGGAGGGUGCAAGCGUUAUCCGGAUUCACUGGGUUUAAAGGGUGCGUAGGUGGGUCUGAAAGUCAGUGGUGAAAUCUCCGUGCUUAACAUGGAAACUGCCAUUGAUACUCUGGAUCUUGAAUUUUCUGGAGGUUAGCGGAAUAUGUCAUGUAGCGGUGAAAUGCUUAGAUAUGACAUAGAACACCAAUUGCGAAGGCAGCUAACUACGGGAACAUUGACACUGAGGCACGAAAGCGUGGGGAUCAAACAGGA
rnacentral:rRNA from 1 species